rnacentral:rRNA from 1 species
AGUGAACGCUGGCGGUAGGCCUAACACAUGCAAGUCGAACGGCAGCACAGAGGAGCUUGCUCCUUGGGUGGCGAGUGGCGGACGGGUGAGGAAUACAUCGGAAUCUACUCUGUCGUGGGGGAUAACGUAGGGAAACUUACGCUAAUACCGCAUACGACCUACGGGUGAAAGCAGGGGACCUUCGGGCCUUGCGCGAUUGAAUGAGCCGAUGUCGGAUUAGCUAGUUGGCGGGGUAAAGGCCCACCAAGGCGACGAUCCGUAGCUGGUCUGGGAGGAUGAUCAGCCAAACUGGAACUGAGACACGGUCCAGACUCCUACGGGAGGCAGCAGUGGGAAUAUUGGACAAGGGGCGCAAGCCUGAUCCAGCCAUACCGCGUGGGUGAAGAAGGCCUUCGGGUUGUAAAGCCCUUUUGUUGGGAAAGAAAUCCAGCUGGCUAAUACCCGGUUGGGAUGACGGUACCCAAAGAAUAAGCACCGGCUAACUUCGUGCCAGCAGCCGCCGUAA